rnacentral:lncRNA from 1 species
GGAUCGAUGGCCAUAUAGUGGGUCUGAUUUGAUUUUCUCAACUGGUUGUACACUCCCUUGAAGGUUUCUUGCUAGUGACGGGCUCAACUCUGAGCCCUCCAGAUUAAACUGUUUUUGGCUGAACUAGGUGAAUAAUCUUUGUAUUCCAUUUAUGUUCUUGCUUUGUUUUUUACUAUAUUACAAUUGCUUCUGGGUUUUGGGUCGAUAAUUCUAACAAAUCUGGUAUCAGAGCUCGAUUUUCGAGGCGUCUGCGUGAUAUACCUUGCCCUGAGGAUAUUCAGUGAGUAGAGAAAAAUAAACGGUCGCGCAUAUUCUUUUUUCUGGAUCUGCAGUAUUCGUUUUUUUAUUUCUUGAGAUUUCAUUUCCUGUCCAGAUCAGACAUUUAAGGAGACUAAUUUUCUGUUUAAGUGUGUAGGUUAAGAACUAAAGAUUGGUCAGCUCUUGACCGGUUCUAGUUUUGGCCGGUGAUCUUUGAAACUCUUGUGAUUGCACUAUUGUUCAACGGUGCUGUGGGUGAGAUCUAACCAUUAAAAGAACCGGUAUAAUUUUGGUGCACAAAAAUUACAUGUCUAUUGUUUUGUGGAUUAAUUACUGACAUUGUACAUUGUGUAUUGAUAAU